rnacentral:lncRNA from 1 species
ACACAAUGUCUCUUCUUUAGGUUCUUGUCCUGUAACAAGAUGCUGAUGCUUUGCAUCAGACUCAGAACUGAGUUCUGUUGCUAAUUGCUAGUUGAGUGACUGAGGAUAUGUUUCUUAAAUGUGUAAAACUCUGAUUUAUCAGUUAAUAACAUGGGUAAUACCUGCCUUGCAGAACAGUAAUGUGUGUAGAAAAUGCUCGGGGAAGUGGCUGGCACCUAGGAGAUGAUCAGAAAAGGAUGUAUGUCUGAGGUCAAGCCUAGUGCUAAGGAAGGAGACACGGUCUCAACUAUGUAGUCCAGGCUGGCCUCGAAAUCGCAGCGAUCCUCUAGCCACAGUUUCCCUAGUGCUGGGAUUUCUGGUGUGCACCACCAUGCCCGGGAAAGCGCCUCGUUCUUUCACAGCCGUAACUUCCUCCUGGGUGCCCAGAUCAGACAGGUGAGCUGGAGCUGACACACGUGUGACUCGAACCUCUUCCAGCGCUGCCCGGUCACUCACCGUAGCCCUCUGGGCGCCAGAAGUCUCCCAUCCUAGGCCCCGCC